rnacentral:ncRNA from 1 species
UGAUAGAGGUGCGAAUUUCAUCAGUAUCCAGGGAGCGAGAGUUUGGAAGACUGUUUUCUGAAGAAAGGGGAAUUUGCCGAAGAGAUGAAAUGAUUCCAAGUUUGAUCUCUGGGACGUGGGCAGAAGAUGUCACGGACUGUCACAGCAGUGGAGCGCUAUCAGA